AUUUUAUUUUGUUUUCUUUGCAUGGAAUGCGACCAACAAGCGGGGCCUCCGGGCCUAACAUGAGCCACCACAAGGGGGCGCGAUCUCCGCCAGUCCUCAUGGAAACCACCUGAAUGUGAAAAUGUGAAUUUCAGUAACGAGUGAAGGUGUGAGGAUGGACACUCAAAUGACCCCAAGAACGGACGGAAGGUGACAAGAGAGGCGUCACAUGGCAAGGAUGUGGAGGAAGCUGCGUGUGCCGGAUGACGGCGUCUGUGGAGGUGGAUGGACGCGUACAGACAAGCUCUGAGGCCAUCGAACCACAUCGCUUCUCCCUCCAUACGAUGCAAGGCGACAACAACUGAGAGGUACACAUCAUUUGCAAUCCCACCAUGAUCUGUGACCUCUGAGGAGCAGCGUCACUGGCCUUGCAUGUCAUUACGAUGUAAAGAGCAGUUCUAUUUACGAUACUUGAUAUUUCACAACAUUUCAUACACAUCCCUGCACACUGUUGGUUUGCUGGGAGGCACGGACAAAGUGAGUGACACAUCACAAACAUACACCAUUAUGCAAAAGCCUCAUAGCCAUGCUGCAUCCUCGGGGUCUUGAAAGUCCAGCAGCUGUCGCUGCAGUCAAAAGGCACCAUUCGCUCAGGGAUAGACAGACUCAACACACAGCACGUGACAGACCACUACUGUACCACACACAACCCCCAACCACCAUUGUCCUGCUUUAAAUAACCAUGACGAUCAGAAGACUACAAUGAGAGCAACAGCGUUUGCACGGAUUCUUAUCACCUUGUGUAAUCCCGGGCGCAAGCCUUCACUCAUCAAGAUUUAGGUUAAACGGCUGCCCAGACAGGGACAAUGAAAUCAUGUUUCUUUUUAUAGAUGUCAAGCGAUAUUCAUAACCUCGCUGCCACCAGACCC